UGGGGAAUAUUGCACAAUGGGCGCAAGCCUGAUGCAGCAACGCCGCGUGAACGAUGAAGGUCUUCGGAUCGUAAAGUUCUGUUGCAGGGAAGAUAAUGACGGUACCCUGUUAGGAAGCCCCGGCUAACUACGCGCCAUCAGUCGCGGUAAUACGUAGGGGGCUAGCGUUAUCCGGAUUUACGGGUCGUAAAGGGUGCGUAGGUGGUCUUUCAAGUCGGUGGUGAAAGGCUACGGCUCAACCGGAAUUGGCCUCCGAAACUGGAAGACUUGAGUGCAGGAGAGGAAAGUGGAAUUCCGAGUGUAGCGGUGAAAUGCGUAGAUAUUGGGAGGAACACCAGUAGCGAAGGCGGCUUUCUGGACUGCAACUGACACUGAGGCACGAAAGCGUAGGUAGCGAACAGG
rnacentral:rRNA from 1 species